rnacentral:rRNA from 1 species
UCUACGGGAGGCAGCAGUAGGGAGUCUUCCACAAUGGACGCAAGUCUGAUGGAGCAACGCCGCGUGAGUGAAGAAGGUUUUCGGAUCGUAAAGCUCUGUUGUUGGUGAAGAAAGAUAGUGAGAGUAACUGCUCAUUAUUUGCCGGUAAUCAACCAGAAAGUCACGGCUAACUACGUGCCAGCAGCCGCGGUAAUA